AGCCCGCCCGCACCCCCCACCGAAGGCUGGUGYCCGUCCGCGGCGGAAGGCGCGCGCUCACCCGCCUCGCUGGUGGCGAGGGGUGGCGGGGGCGAUCGCAGGGUCUCGUGAGACUAUACUGCUUCCUGGCUGAAUGGAAAAGAAGUAGCCAUUGAAGUACAGAGCCUAAGGCUAAUUCCUGCUCUAACUCCCAUUGAAACCAACAGGAUAUCAUUGCUUAAAUAAUUUAGACAAUUAAGCUUUUGGAUGCUACAAUGAGGAGGACCAUGCAAGUGCACUGAGAACAUCCCACCCGUCAACUCAGUAUCUUUCCAGCCCACAUCAGUGUGAGGUCAGUAGGACAGGAGAGAAUCCCGACAAAGAGACAGAACCAUCAGUUACUGCAAUGAGAGCGAAGCAUGGAGGGAGGCAGGACAGACGUGGAGAGAGGUAGAUCCUAUCCAUUGUC
rnacentral:lncRNA from 1 species